rnacentral:rRNA from 1 species
AUUGAACGCUGGCGGCAUGCUUUACACAUGCAAGUCGAACGGUAACAGCACUUCGGUGGCUGACGAGUGGCGAACGGGUGAGUAAUACAUCGGAACGUGCCUAGUAGUGGGGGAUAACUACUCGAAAGAGUAGCUAAUACCGCAUGAGAUCUAAGGAUGAAAGCAUGGGACCUUCGGGCCUUGCGCUACUAGAGCGGCUGAUGGCAGAUUAGGUAGUUGGUGGGAUAAAAGCUUACCAAGCCGACGAUCUGUAGCUGGUCUGAGAGGACGACCAGCCACACUGGGACUGAGACACGGCCCAGACUCCUACGGGAGGCAGCAGUGGGGAAUUUUGGACAAUGGGCGCAAGCCUGAUCCAGCAAUGCCGCGUGCAGGAUGAAGGCCUUCGGGUUGUAAACUGCUUUUGUACGGAACGAAAAGCCCUCUUCUAAUACAGGAGGGUCAUGACGGUACCGUAAGAAUAAGCACCGGCUAACUACGUG